rnacentral:rRNA from 1 species
UACGUAGGGGGCAAGCGUUGUCCGGAAUUAUUGGGCGUAAAGAGCUUGUAGGCGGUUUGUCGCGUCUGCUGUGAAAAUCCGAGGCUCAACCUCGGACUUGCAGUGGGUACGGGCAGACUAGAGUGUGGUAGGGGAGACUGGAAUUCCACGUGUAGCGGUGAAAUGCGUAGAGAUGUGGAGGAACACCAGUGGCGAAGGCGACUCUUUGGCCUGUAACUGACGCUGAGGAGCGAAAGCAUGGGGAGCGAACAGG